rnacentral:rRNA from 1 species
UACGGGGGGGGCAAGCGUUGUUCGGAAUUACUGGGCGUAAAGGGCUCGUAGGCGGCCAACUAAGUCAGACGUGAAAUCCCUCGGCUUAACCGGGGAACUGCGUCUGAUACUGGAUGGCUUGAGUUUGGGAGAGGGAUGCGGAAUUCCAGGUGUAGCGGUGAAAUUCGUAGAUAUCGGGAGGAACACCAGUGGCGAAGGCGGCGAUCUGGGAAGAUACUGACGCUGAGGUGCGAAAGCGUGGGGAACAAACAGG